UACGUAGGGUGCGAGCGUUGUCCGGAAUUAUUGGGCGUAAAGAGCUUGUAGGCGGUUUGUCGCGUCUGCUGUGAAAAUCCGGGGCUCAACCCCGGACUUGCAGUGGGUACGGGCAGACUAGAGUGUGGUAGGGGAGACUGGAAUUCCUGGUGUAGCGGUGGAAUGCGCAGAUAUCAGGAGGAACACCGAUGGCGAAGGCAGGUCUCUGGGCCACUACUGACGCUGAGAAGCGGAAAGCAUGGGGAGCGAACAGG
rnacentral:rRNA from 1 species